AUGAGCCACUGUACUGUGCUGUGCCUACUUCAAAGGACUGAAAAUAAAAAAUAAAUAAAUCUUUGCCAAAUUAAAAAACAAAGCAAUAGUUUCCAGGUCUUAGAUAAAGACAAUUCUCUGUCAUGAAGAAUGACAAAAGGCUUAUUUAGCUGUUAAAAUGAUUUGCUUAUAUUUCAAAGAAGCAGAGAAAAAAAGGUACAUAUGAAAGUUUUCCAGGCCAGUCAUGGUGGUUCAUGCCUGUAAUCUGAACAUUUGGGGAGGCCAAGGCAUGAGGAUACCUUCAAGCCAAAUGUUUGAGUCCAGUACAGGCAACAUGGUGAAAUUCUGUCACUACAAAAAAAUAAAUAAAUAUGGCAGGGCAUGUUGGCUCACACCUGUAAUCCCAGCACUUUGGGAGUCUCAGGCAGGUGGAUAAUGAGGUCAGGGGUUCGAGACCAGCCUGGCCAAAAUGGUAAAACCCAUUCUCUACUAAAAAUAAUAAUAACAAAAAAUUAGCCAGACAUGGUGGUGUGUGCCUGUAAUCCCAGCUACUCAAAAGGCUGAGACAGGAGAAUUGCUUGAACCUGGGAGGUGGAGGUUGAAUUGAGACAAGAUCAUGCCACUACACUCCAGCCUGGCCCACAGAGCAAGACACUGUCCUGAAAAAAAAUAAAAACAAAAAUAAAUAAAGCUAGCCAGGCAUGGUGGUUCAUGCCUAUAGUCCUAGGUAAUUAAGCGGUUGAUGCAGGAGGACUGCUCAAACCCAAGAGGUUAAGGUUACAGUGAGCUAUGAUUAUGCCGUUGCACUUCAGGCUAAGUAAAAGAGUAAGAUUCUGCCUCAAAAAAUUACUAAUAAAAGUUUUCCAGAUUACAUUGUUUAAGGAAAGGGAAAAGAAAAACAUCUUUUUUUAUUUUCAAAUGGGAGAAUAGAGCCUCUCAUUUCUAAUUUGUAUUGCCUUCUGCAAAAACUUAGUCUAGGCCCAUGGUCUUGAACUACUGGACAUCUGAAAUUUGGUAGGUGCUGGAUUCAGGCAACUGAGGGGUGGCCUUGGGCACACUGUGUGCACAUAAAAGAAAGGGUUUGAGGUGAACUAAAAGGUAAAAGAGGGGAAGGUGCUAUUAAGAAACCACAAGUGAGAGACUGUACAGGGUUGGUGGAAGGACUGGUUCAUGCUACAGAUACUGACCCAGGUGAAACUUUGCUCUGAGUUAUUUCUAUGUUCAUGCAGGAAGACGAGAUUAUGAUCAGGUGGCACAGAAAUCUGGGAUGGUGAAAAAACCAGGUUGCCACUGCAGAUUCGGUGUCUAAGAUAGAACAUAUGCCAGGGGUCUUGUAGGCACGUGUGUGGGUUUUUGGUGGGAAAGUCUAUGAGGAAAGGUAGGAUGGGCAACAAUCUUGAUGCCAAAGCCUUGUCCUGAGAGGGGCUUGACCACAUCAACAUGCAGUGUGUAUGUUCAGUGGGUGAAAAACAUGUGGUGGCCUCAGGUUGGCAGGAGGGUAGAAGGCAUCUGUUCUCAGAACUUCUUCCCUCAGAGUCUUCAGUCUUUCUUACCAUGGGAGGAUGCCUGGAACCACAGGGCAGUGCAUGGUGUAGCGGCCUGUAUGCAGAGCAGAGUCUACCUUCCCCGAGACACCUGGAGUCUCUCUCCAGCAAAGGCCCCCACAUUGUCUUUCUCCUUACAACACUUUUGAUCCUAAAUGUGUAAAGUUCCCUGAAAACCGACUGAUUCUCCAACACCCAUUUGUUGCCCAAAAAUUUAAUUCUGACACAACUUAGAGUUCGCACAGACCCCACAAAUUCAGGGUUCAGUCCCACAUCACCCCUCUCACUGCAGAGGUUAGUCACAUGUCCCAGAAGCCCAUCUAUACUUCUGAGCUACUGCCUAUAAAUCUGAGACUCCCAUAAACCCCUUUUCAAGUUAAAUAAUUUGAUAGAAUUACUCAAAAAAAUUCAACAAAUAAGUCUAAUUAUAUUUACCACUUUAUUAUAAAAAUACAACUCAGAAACUGACAAAUGGAAGAGAUGUCUAGGACAAGGAACAGUUGUGGGUGAAGGUAAUCCUGGAAAUAGCUAUAUUUAAAGAAAUUCCCCCAUUCUUUGUGUUCUCAAAGAACAGCUUAGUGAAGAGAAACGUGCUUCCCAUUAUGACUUUGUGGAUGUUCCCCCCCCUUUUUUUUUAACCUAUCACAAAGACGGACACAGAUUAAAAAUUCCUAUUUUUAAAAAUGAACAACCAUUCUGUAAUUUAGUCUUCAGUGGUCAAAACAGAGUACUUGUUAACAAAACUUUGCUUGUUCCCCUUCUUCCCUCAGCCCCUGAACUCUGACUCACCCACAGCCUCAGAGAACCUACAACCCAUAUUUAUACAUAUCCCUCCUAAGAACAGGCUGACUUCAAGAUGAAACAUUAUCUUAUCUGGGAUCUGAUUUUGCUACCCUCCAUCCUGUGCUUCCCUUCCAACCUUCUUUGUAAACUUGCUUUCUCCUCCCUAUGAAAUAAAGCCCUUUUCUACCUGACCUUUGAGAUCCUCAAAGAUCUAAUCAUUUGUACUUUUUCCUUGUUACAACACUUCUUAAGUAACUUCUUAGACAAAGUCUGUAAACAGUCUCAGGACAAUAACAAUUCCAUUCUAGAAAGAAUAUCCCAACAUUUCUUCUAUCUCAACCUUAACUGCAUCUGCCUGUCAACUUCCAGCUUACCAAAGCUCUGUAUCUUUUGACAGUGACAAAGGCUCCUUCUAUGGUUGGUGUGAGCAGACUUUGACGCCUGCAGGGCAGACACCCAGGAAUAAACAACUGGGCCUUCAGUGGCCCCCUUUUGCAGGGUCAACGUUAGCCUUAGCUUUUAGUCAAUGGUCUAAGACUUCUACUUACCAGUUAAAGUCAUUCAAUUAGUUUUCAAUUUAAAAAAUACUUCAUGUUUGAAGAAUCCAGCAAAAAUCAUUCAAAUCUAAGGUUUAAAAGAGAGGAAAUUAUGGCCGGGCAUGGUGGCUCAUGCCUGUAAUCCCUGCAUUUUGGGAGGCUGAGGCGGGCAGAUUACCUGAGGUCAGGAGUUCGAGACCAGCCUCACCAACAUGAAGAAACACAGUCUCUACUAAAAAUACAAACUUAAACGGGGGUGGUCGUGUAUUCCUGUAAUCCCAGUUAAUUGGGAGGCCGAGGCAGGAGAAUUGCUUGAACCCGGGAGGUGGAGGUUGCAGUGAGUGAAUAUCAUGCCAUUGCACUCCAGACUGGGUAACAAGAGUGAAACUAAGUCUAAAAAAUAAAAUUAAAAUUAAAAAAGAAAGUUAUAAGGGGCUUACAUUUUAUAACUCAACAAGAAAAGCCAAAGUAUCUAUCCCUUUCAGAAAAUAAACAUGUAAUUUAAUUAUGUUCAUAACAAAUCAUUUAGUAAACAAUUAAUCAUAUGUGAACACUUCCAGGAGGUGCCAAGUCCCAGCUCCUACAACUUAGCAUUACCCUCAAACACCCAGAUGGCAGCAUAUGGAACAGAGAUAUUCACUUUCAGAAGUUCUCUGUUUUGAAAAAAAGAAUAACUGAUGUGAUAAAUUUAUGUAAUUUAACAAUUAAUCUACCUCACGUGCUUGUAGGUAUGUAUUCAUUUCCUACCACCGUAGUGGAAGAGAGACUAUCCCUAUCUAUACACCUGGUAACAUUUCCAACAGUAAGCUGUGAGAUUCUGCUUGAAAUCACCUCUCAAACAAAUAAAAAACAGUCCUGGGAAAUGUACUACACUCAUUCUGCUAAAGAAAUAGUGCAAGAACUUUUUCUAAGACCCCGAACUCCAGAUAUGCGAUGGGGCAAAUCCUGAAGUGUACAUGGAUAUCUCUCACAGCUAAAGCAUCCCUCAACCCUAUCCAGGGCUUCUUACCCCUGGCGCAAGAGAAUCACCGGCGGGGAGGAAAACUUUCAAAAUCCCUUAAACCCAAGUUGUAACCGAUCAAUUAAAUCAGAAUCCUUGGAGCUGGAUCUGAAAAAAAUAUGGUUUAAAGUUGUGCAGGUGAUUACAAUGUGUAGGCAAGCCACAAAACCAUGGCUUUAACCAGCAGCUUUUGUUAGAAAUGAUUUCUCAAAUGAAUGUGAAAACUUUUGCUGCUGAAUUGUGACCUUUCAAUUUUACCUGCUUUUCCUGCAAAGUAUAUUUUGCAGACCCAGGCAGUGCUGCUCUCUCUGUUCCUGAUUCAUCCAGUGCCAUGUGUGCUCAGUGCAUCCUGUGCAGGGAUCACUGUGUGCCCUGGCCUGGGUGAGCAUCAUUCUUCGGUGAGAACCUUUCCGAAAACAAAGCUGCAUUCCAAAAAGUUAAAACCAUUCUACUUACUGUGUUGAAGUAAAAGCAGCGGGGCUCACCCAAAAGUUAAAACAUAAAUAAAUAACUUGGAACAUUAACAUACACCUGAUGAUGUCCUGAGUGAACACGCCCCACUUUAAAACAAAACAAAACAUUGCUAUUAUUCUAAAAUAUUAAUUUAGGAUUGUUAUGCAAACAUGCACUCUUUACAUUUUUAUUGAUGUAUAACAUGCAUACAGCAAUAUAGGCACAAAGCAUUUAGGGAAUGUUUGAUGAAUUAUUACUAAAUAAAUACACUUGUGUAACUAAGAAUCAGAUUUGUUCAUGCCCCUGACACUUUCUCCUUCCCAAAGGUAACCAAGACCUUAAGAGCUAAGUGUAGAUAAAUUUUGUCAUUUUGUACAAGUGUUUUAUUACAGAUCAUUAAAAACAUAUACACAAUACAAAAAAAGUAUAACAGACCAGUCAUCCAGCUUUAACAUCUGCUAGUCAUGUGUCAUUUUUGUUUUAUCUAUACUUCCAGCCAUGCCCCCACCCCCAAUUUCAUUAUUUUUUAGGCUUUUUGGAUAAAAUUUAUAUUCAUUGCAAGGUACAAUGCGAACUGUAAAUAGUAGAGAGAUGGGGUUUUACCAUGUUGGUCAGGCUGGUCUUGAACUCCUGACCUCAGGUGAUUCACUCUCUUCGGCCUCGCAAAGUGCUGGGAUUACAAGCGUGAGCCAAUAUACUCAGCCUGAGAAUUCAUAUUUCUAAUAAAGUACAAAUUCAUAGGGCACAUGACAACUGCAAUGUCUAUCUACAGUAAAAACAGUUUGAUGAAUAAAAUAAAAGGCAAUUGACUUAAGGUGGGAAAAAAACAAUCAAAGCAUGGUUACUAUGUGCCAUCUGUAGGAGCAUUUGGUUAAGAAUAACAAACAAACCAAUUUUAUUGUUUUAAUAACAGAAAUUGGCAAAAUUUCUAGUUUUUCUUUCAUAGGAAUGCUCUUAGCAAGAAAAAAUUUUCAUAUGGUGAGAGCAAAAAUGACAACCAUUUGCAAGUAAAUGUCUUAUGAAAUUAAGUAGCAGAUAUCAAGCUCAUGACCUUCAGAUAGUUACCCCUAACUCAAUCAUUUACAUAGCAAGUGCAGAUAAUUUUCAUAGCUCCCUAUUACAAUUAUAUUUUACUCCCCUUACAAAUUGUGACUGUUUUUAAAUAAAGUUCACUAACUAAAAUGUUGUAUAUGACAUAUGAUAAAUUCUCCUUCAAGUCACCUUAUAUUUACUUAAUUGUGUUAGCCAGUGUCUGUCUACCUCCCAAUAAUACUUGGGGAUUCUCCCUCCAUUUGCACAGGCAUCAUAGCUGGGAAACAGGGAUUCAAAAGACCCAGGCUGUUCCCUACAUAUGUUUCCUCCUCAGACAUCAGUUCAUCAGUCAAUCAAGUCAUGUGUGAGUGGAGGCCAUGUAUUCCCUCUUAUUCUUGGGCACUCUCCUCCAAGGAGGAAAAGGCCAGGAGGUCCUGUUAGAGGAUGCACUCUGAGAGCCCGGGCUCCCUAAGGUAUGAGAGUUCUAAACAGCAGGUGUAGACUUUUCAGGAGUGAGGAAUGAGGCAGGCAUUCCAAACCUGGACCGUCAUCACCUUUUGUUUCAUCUCAAGACAAUUCUGAGGGGCUGUUUCGGAGCGUGUCUGGAAGGUGAAUGUUGAAGAAGAGUGUGGGCUUUGAUGUGACUCAGAUGAGAUC
rnacentral:lncRNA from 1 species